rnacentral:rRNA from 1 species
UACGUAGGGGGCAAGCGUUGUCCGGAAUCAUUGGGCGUAAAGAGCGUGUAGGCGGUUCAGUAAGUCUGCUGUGAAAGUCCAGGGCUCAACCCUGGGAUGCCGGUGGAUACUGCUGGACUAGAGUGCGGAAGAGGCGAGUGGAAUUCCCGGUGUAGCGGUGAAAUGCGCAGAUAUCGGGAGGAACACCAAUUGCGAAGGCAGCUCGCUGGGACGUGACUGACGCUGAGACGCGAAAGCGUGGGGAGCAAACAGG